GCCUGGGUGGCUCAGUCGGUUGAGCUUCUGAUUUCAGCUCAGGUCAUGAUCUCACGGUCCAUGGGUUCGAGCCCCGCAUCAGGCU
rnacentral:tRNA from 1 species